CCCUUAGAUGUUCGGAGCUGCACGCGCGCUACACUGAAGGAAGCAGCGUGUUAGAUCACCUGACUUGAAAAAGUUGGGUAAUCCGGUGAAUGUCCUUCGUGAUUGGGAUAGGCACUUGUAAUUAUUUGCCUUGAACGAGGAAUACCUAGUAAGUGCGAGUCAUCAGCUUGCGCUGACUACGUCCCUGCCCCUUGUACACACCGCCCGUCGCUACUACCGAUUGAAUGGUUCAGUGAGAUAAUCGGACAGAAAACUUGGCAACUGGCAACAGUUGACGUGCAUUUUUGGAAGACGAUCAAACUUGGUCAUUUAGAGGAAGUAAAAGUCGUAACA
rnacentral:rRNA from 1 species